UACAGAGGUCUCAAGCGUUGUUCGGAUUCAUUGGGCGUAAAGGGCGCGUAGGCGGCCACCGCAAGUCGGUUGUGAAAUCUCUGGGCUUAACCCAGAAAGGUCAACCGAUACUGCGGGGCUAGAGUGCAGAAGGGGCAACUGGAAUUCUCGGUGUAGCGGUGAAAUGCGUAGAUAUCGAGAGGAACACCUGCGGCGAAGGCGGGUUGCUGGGCUGACACUGACGCUGAUGCGCGAAAGCUAGGGGAGCGAACGGG
rnacentral:rRNA from 1 species